ACAAACACGUGGUUGUGAUGAGCAGAUAAAUUGGGCCGCAGUCUCAUUAGCGGUCUUUUCCUCCUGUUGCAGCCGUGAAGAAGGCUCUUUCUGCCGGGCUGCACAGUGACGACCACCGGCGUGUCUUGUUGACCCUCCUGCCUGCUUGGAGCAGCCUGAGCUGGAUUUCUUCAAAAUGAGGUUUUGGACACUGAAGGGAAUCCACCUUUGGGUCAAUCUCAGUCUGGUAUUAAGUUUCUCAGUUAAAAGUCAAGAUAAAAAAGCUGAAGUGCUGUGUGCAAGCAUUGACUAGUUAACUAUAUUUCUGUAAAGGCAUAAUUCUGUUGUAGUUUUUAAAAAUUAUCCUGUUUGACUUGUGAGAGGAACCAGUUGCAUUGUUUUGUCUCUGUAAAACGUUUUUGGUCAAUAAAACACGACUAAACAAGCCUG